UGAUUUUGGGAAGAUUAGCAAAAAGCAGAAAAGUGAGGCUUUCUACUUUGUCCCGCUUCACAUUCUGCUUUUUAAAGAAUAUAAUCCACACAGGAGGCGGCGACGUCUAUUCCCUUAAAACGGACCACAGCCAUGCAGAAAAAGAGAGCGAGAGAUACAGAGCCUUUCCAAGAAAAAAAAAAAGAAAGGAAUCCACAGCCGCUCUCAGCUACUGCGCCUUUUGGACAAAGGGAACCAUGCGUCCCGCUCGGCAGAGCUUCGGAGAGACGAAAAAUAAUAACCCUUUGCUUCCCGACUUCUUUUCCUUUAAACGUGCCUGUUCCCGUUUAUUCUCCUGUCGGGAAGUAUCCGUGAGCGGUAACAAUCAGGAUCCGGGAGGCUCUGAGCGCAAAGAAGGGAGCGGAGCAAAGCGAUCCAACAAAGCGCACGGUCGGUUCCCUUCAAGAGAGGUGAAGCGAAUCAAAGAGGUGGAGAGAAAAAAAUAAUAAAAUAAAAACCUCACAAGCCCAGUUGAAGCUGUGUGUUCUGUCUAAAAAGGGUUCCCGACGAUCAUGGGCGCACAGCAGCCUCUCCCCAUCCGUUUCCAAGAAGCUGACAAACUCCCAUUCAUCCAGUGAGUGGCUGCUCCUGCUGCCAGCCUGCCCGCCCGCGCGGCCCGGGUCCUCCCACUUCCUGAUUUCCAGGCGGACUCGGGUCCAGCCUCAGUAGCACUCCUUCAGAGGAUAAACACACUCGUGUGUCUGGGCUUCCGAAAAGCUGUGGCUGAAGGCGCACGGCGAUCUUUUGCGUAUAUGGCGCGCAAAAGGAGAGACAGCAGCGCUCCAAAGCAAUCCAAUGGGAGCAUGCAGACUAGGGAGGGCAGAAAGAUAAAGGAGGAGGAACUAAAGAGGAAGGGAGCACAUAAGAAAACACAACAGGAGGAGACAAGAAAAGACAGACUAGAUGGAGAGAGAGAAGGAGCCAAGCAGGGAGGAAACAGAGGGGAAAGAAACAGCCUGCUGGGUCUUUUUUAAAAGGAAAUGACUACAAGAAAACACUAAGGAAAUCCCUACUAAGGUACUGGGGUAAAAUCUUCCAAGUCUGUGCUGCCUCUGCCCCCGGAAGUGGUUUGCCCGGCUGGGAGACUACGGUCAGAGGGAUUAGGCUCUCUGAAACGCUCUGUCAAGACCAUUCUGUCAGGCACCAAUGGAGGCAGUCUCAGCCACCCCCAGCGCAAUCCCUAUGCUCCUCUCAAACAAGCCUCUUCAAGGCUCUCUCUGUACUCAACAGCGCCAGAGUGGGGGCCAAUAAUAGGCUCUCUGGAGGAUACAAGAUGGGCCCCGGACUUCAAAAGGCAGCAGGGUGACAGACAGCAGGGAGGUCCCUACCCAGCCUCCCUUUCCGUUCUGUCACCGAUGUCCUUUCUGUCUAUCUCGUCUCAGUGUGUCCACCGCCCACCUCCAGUACCAACCGCUGAGGGGGACCUGGCUGCGUUUUGCAGGGCCUGAGCUAAAUAAGACUGUUGUUCCCUCCACAGCAGCCUCCCUUCUGGGGGGACCUGAUGAUGGGAAGCAGAGAAACCUGACGUUGAGAUCCUUUUUAUGGCUCACAGAGAGAAAAGAUAUCUGGGACAUCAGAAUGAAAAUGUAGCCAAGAGCUUUCUUGGGACUCAAGACACAUCAGGUGAUCUGUGCUGUCUUUUGGAUCUCCUCAAAGGAUUACCACUCAGCUCUUUAAAAACUCUUCCCUCCACUGAUUCAACUAAACAAGAGGACACUUA